CAGAGGGGAGUUUUAUCUGCAAGAAUAUUAGCUUUGGGAGCUGAAGGUGGGAGUUCGAAUCUCCUCCCUCUGAGCACUAGAGAGGAAUUUAACCUCUGGCCUUCGGCUUACAAGACCGUUGCUCUGGAACUGAGCUACUAGGGCAAGCUCAUUUAAGGGCUUUGUUCUCUACUCAGCCUGCAAGUGGGGCUAGGACCAGGAGUAAGAAGAAAUAAAGGAAUGAUGCUACUUGUCCAAUAAUGACAAAUGGGUG
rnacentral:tRNA from 1 species